GCGGAGCUGCGCCCCGACCUGUGCCUGACCCAGGGCAGCAGCAAAAGGGAAAAUCCAUGGCUCUGCCAACUCGGAAAUGACCAACAAACAUGAAGAGCCUUGGAAGGCAGUGUCAUGGUCAUGUUCAGGGCAGAUUUUUGGGUGAUGUGUGUCAAGGACUUUGCUUGCCCAGAGAUCAAAGGACCUCAGCUCUCUGCAGGAUCCACGGAACCACAGGAAGUCAUUUCCACAUACAAAAUGCUGCGUGCAUUAG